GUAGACCGCCUGGGGAGUACGGCCGCAAGGUUAAAACUCAAAUGAAUUGACGGGGGCCCGCACAAGCGGUGGAGCAUGUGGUUUAAUUCGAUGCAACGCGAAGAACCUUACCUGGUCUUGACAUCCACGGAAGUUUUCAGAGAUGAGAAUGUGCCUUCGGGAACCGUGAGACAGGUGCUGCAUGGCUGUCGUCAGCUCGUGUUGUGAAAUGUUGGGUUAAGUCCCGCAACGAGCGCAACCCUUAUCCUUUGUUGCCAGCGGUCCGGCCGGGAACUCAAAGGAGACUGCCAGUGAUAAACUGGAGGAAGGUGGGGAUGACGUCAAGUCAUCAUGGCCCUUACGACCAGGGCUACACACGUGCUACAAUGGCGCAUACAAAGAGAAGCGACCUCGCGAGAGCAAGCGGACCUCAUAAAGUGCGUCGUAGUCCGGAUUGGAGUCUGCAACUCGACUCCAUGAAGUCGGAAUCGCUAGUAAUCGUGGAUCAGAAUGCCACGGUGAAUACGUUCCCGGGCCUUGUACACACCGCCCGUCACACCAUGGGAGUGGGUUGCAAAAGAAGUAGGUAGCUUAACCUUCGGGAGGGCGCUUACCACUUUGUGAUUCAUGACUGGGGUGAAGUCGUAACAAGGUAACCGUAGGGGAACCUGC
rnacentral:rRNA from 1 species